ACAAUGGAGAGUUUGAUCCUGGCUCAGGAUGAACGCUAGCUACAGGCUUAACACAUGCAAGUCGAGGGGAAACGGCAUUGAGUGCUUGCACUCUUUGGACGUCGACCGGCGCACGGGUGAGUAACGCGUAUCCAACCUUCCCAUUACUGUGGGAUAACCUGCCGAAAGGCAGACUAAUACCGCAUAGUCUUCGAUGACGGCAUCAGAUUUGAAGUAAAGAUUUAUCGGUAAUGGAUGGGGAUGCGUCUGAUUAGCUUGUUGGCGGGGUAACGGCCCACCAAGGCAACGAUCAGUAGGGGUUCUGAGAGGAAGGUCCCCCACAUUGGAACUGAGACACGGUCCAAACUCCUACGGGAGGCAGCAGUGAGGAAUAUUGGUCAAUGGACGGAAGUCUGAACCAGCCAAGUAGCGUGCAGGAUGACGGCCCUAUGGGUUGUAAACUGCUUUUGUAUGGGGAUAAAGUUAGGGACGUGUCCCUAUUUGCAGGUACCAUACGAAUAAGGACCGGCUAAUUCCGUGCCAGCAGCCGCGGUAAUACCUGUCUCUUAUACACAUCUGACGCUGCC
rnacentral:rRNA from 1 species